rfam:Triticum urartu cultivar G1812 contig745695, whole genome shotgun sequence.
GAGCGAGGCGAGGGGCUCCGCCCUACAACGAGAGGGACGCCUCGCGAGCCGGGCUUUGGAGAUGAGGCCUUUUGGCGAAGCGAAGUCAAUUUCGGGCGACCAAAUCCUGAAGAAAGCUCAAAAGCGUUGUUUGAUGAGCCUGCGUAGUAUUAGGUAGUUGGUCGGGUAAAGGCUGACCAAGCCAAUGAUGCUUAGCUGGUCUUAUCGGAUGAUCAGCC